rnacentral:rRNA from 1 species
UCAAUAAGCGGAGGAAAAGAAACUAACAAGGAUUCCCCUAGUAACGGCGAGUGAAGAGGGAAGAGCCCAAGAUUGAAAGCUGGCGUCUUCGGCGUCCGCAUUGUAAUCUCAAGAAGUGUUUUCCGUCUCGGACCAAGCCUAAGUCCCUUGGAAAAGGGCAUCGUAGAGGGUGAAAAUCCCGUACAUGGUUUGGAGCGCCCGAGACUUUGUGAUACGCUUUCUAAGAGUCGCGUUGUUUGGGAAUGCAGCGCAAAAUGGGUGGUAAAUGCCAUCUAAGGCUAAAUAUUGGGGAGAGACCGAUAGCGAACAAGUACAGUGAUGGAAAGAUGAAAAGAACUUUGAAAAGAGAGUUAAACAGUACGUGAAAUUGCCAAAAGGGAAGGGUAGGAGGUCAGAGAUGCGGUCUGCAAUUCAACCGGGCUUCUGCUUCGGGGUAUUUUGCAGUCUCGCAGGCCAACGUCGGUUUUGAGCGCUGGAGAAGGGUUGGAGGAACGUGGCACCUCUCGGGGUGUGUUAUAGCCUCCUACUGGAUACAGUGAUCGAGACCGAGGAACGCAGCGUACUCGUAAGAGCGGGCCCUCGGGCACCUUUACCCUUAGGGCGUUGGCAUAAUGGCCCUCUACCACCCGUCUUGAAACACGG